GCCGUUCUAGCUCAGUUGGUAGAGCGCGUGGCUUUUAACCACGUGGUCGUGGGUUCGAGUCCCACGGAUGGCGUUUUGUUAUAUGUUUUUUUUUUGUAUGUUUUCUGUUUUUGUAAUAGACAUUUAAAUAUCAUCAGAAAAGUGUUUUACAUAUACCAUUUUCGUAAAAUAUGAGCCGUUCUAGCUCAGUUGGUAGAGCGCGUGGCUUUUAACCACGUGGUCGUGGGUUCGAGUCCCACGGAUGGCG
rnacentral:tRNA from 1 species